rnacentral:lncRNA from 1 species
GCAGCGGUGCUUGCUUCCGAAUCCGACCGACCAAGAGGCGCCGGCCCGGGCGUCGCUGUCGUCGAUGCCGGAACCGGCGACGGGGCCACGGGGCGACCAUGCGCGUAGACUGCCGCGUCGCGGGCUCGCGGCCACUCUCUCUCCGGUAAGUUCUCUGAGCCACUCGCUAGGUCACUAGUCCGUCUUCAUAGGUGAAGAAUGCAGAGUAAAUACCGCGACAAUCCGCGCAAAAAGAUGCACUCGUAGCGUGCUCAAGUUUUUCGUAAAAAUUGUGUUGCCUAUGUUUUGUCCCUUCCAUUUAUCUUGUGGUAGAGAGGAGAUAUCCCUUCUGGAUUCUGAAUGUCGUUUAGAUGCCACAGUAUAACCCGAGGAGCAAAAAUGGAUUUGAGUUUUUCAGGAACAAGUCUUUCAGGGUGAUUUCUGAUUUGUUCCAUUUUCUUCACAUGUAAGGGCAGAAACACAAAAGGCUAAUUUUUUUAACUGCAAUGAGUACACCAUAUAUUUCAUUGGUAGAGCUACUAAGAAAGCUCAUCGAACUUAUGAUUACAUUGCUGAAAUAGCUAUAGGCAGUGGAAUGUAAACUGCAACAACUCUAGACAAUGCAAUAAACAACUCUAGAAUACUGAGAUGGAAGCAGAAGCCUCCAGCUAUGAUUCCUCUCGAUAAUCGAAAUAGGCUUCAGGUCUUUUGUUUAUUCUGCUCACGCCUGGCCCUGAAAAGAGAGCGGAGUGAUAUCAUUAGCAUUGCAUGUCACUGCACUUUGGGAAUAUGAUUGCUUUCUUCGAAUUGUAGUUCUGUAUUUUUGGGUUCAUAAGAGCAUCUUGGAACGUUGAAGCUUUAAAAAACUGUGAUAUUUUUUUGGAGAUACAGUGUGUAAUAUAAUAAUAUGUAAAGUUUCACAACUAAAGAAAACUUACACUUAAAGAGCCCCAUGUUGAUGCUUAAGAUAGCUGAUUUGUUGGUGGUGGGGAUUGAUAGGAGUGCAGAGGUGGCGUUGGUGCCGACAGAGCUUCAAUUGGAGGUGGUGGAGAGUUGUGCUGGUAAAGAGGAUGUGGAGAUGCUGAAGAUACUGGUGGAGACUUUGCAUGAGGGACACUUGGAUGCAGAUUGUUUGGAGCAUUUGGAGG